UGCCCGAUGGCGUAGUUGGUUAGAGCGUAUGAAUGCAAUUUAUAACGUAUCUGCGGGUUCGAAUCCCGCCACUGACACAGGCAG